UACGAAGGGGGCUAGCGUUGUUCGGAAUUACUGGGCGUAAAGCGCGCGCAGGCGGUUCUUUAAGUCAGGGGUGAAAGCCCAGAGCUCAACUCUGGAAUUGCCUUUGAAACUAGAGAACUUGGGUACGGGAGAGGUGAGUGGAAUUCCGAGUGUAGAGGUGAAAUUCGUAGAUAUUCGGAAGAACACCAGUGGCGAAGGCGGCUCACUGGCCCGGCACUGACGCUGAGGCGCGAAAGCGUGGGGAGCAAACAGG
rnacentral:rRNA from 1 species